AAAUAGAUACCCCCGGUAGUCCACGCCGUAAACGAUGAGUGCUAAGUGUUAGAGGGUUUCCGCCCUUUAGUGCUGCAGCAAACGCAUUAAGCACUCCGCCUGGGGAGUACGGCCGCAAGGCUGAAACUCAAAGGAAUUGACGGGGGCCCGCACAAGCGGUGGAGCAUGUGGUUUAAUUCGAAGCAACGCGAAGAACCUUACCAGGUCUUGACAUCCUCUGCCACUCCUAGAGAUAGGACGUUCCCCUUCGGGGGACAGAGUGACAGGUGGUGCAUGGUUGUCGUCAGCUCGUGUCGUGAGAUGUUGGGUUAAGUCCCGCAACGAGCGCAACCCUUGAUCUUAGUUGCCAGCAUUCAGUUGGGCACUCUAAGGUGACUGCCGGUGACAAACCGGAGGAAGGUGGGGAUGACGUCAAAUCAUCAUGCCCCUUAUGACCUGGGCUACACACGUGCUACAAUGGAUGGUACAAAGGGUCGCGAAACCGCGAGGUCGAGCCAAUCCCACAAAACCAUUCUCAGUUCGGAUUGCAGGCUG
rnacentral:rRNA from 1 species